UUAACGGGGGUUGGGGGUGGAAGCCUUCCAAUUUCCAAAAAUGUGGGAGCGGAACCAAUAAAGGGAAGAGGUCUCACAGGACAAGUAUUUCCAGCUUUCUGUAGGGUUAGGCGGCGGGGCUGCCCCCUUGUGGUUAAGGGGCGGAAGGGAGAGGAGUUUAUGGGCCAAUUUCUGCCUGCCCAGAUGUUCUGAAGCCUCCAUCCACAGCUGUCCAAGGUGGUGAUGUGCCCGAGAGGCUGAAGAUUGGAGCCAAGUGUGAUUCUCAAGCAUGCUUUCUGGAUGCCACAGAUGUGUUGUGUCUGUGGAGGGGUAGAGAUGUAAAUCCACAGUCCCUCCCUCUCUGGACUCUCGUGUGGGAUUUGUUCCUGGACUGAAAAGGCUCCUUUGAAGAACUGAACUAUGACCACUAAGCUGCAAAGGAUCCUGGGAAAGCAACUUUCUUUAUGUGGGCGUUUUCAUCUCUGAAUGAAAUGAAAAGCCUAUAGGUAAAGAAGAAGAACAACUGCAAGAGGACCUAAAUCUCCUUUUGUAUCCUGGACAAAUGGGACUGUCAUUUGUUGAUCUACCACACAGUCAGCAGUGUAAGCUCAUUUGGUUAGUCAUUCACUUCAAUUCCUGCAUAGACACAAAGCAGGUGUGGAUUCUACUUUGUAUACAUAGAGAAACUGAGGCGCAGAGAAAAUCAGACAGGUUCACAUACACACAGUGGGAUGAAUUAACCCUAGUACCUAUAUCUGCUGGGUCCCAAAAGUUGAAGGAGGUCUUACGUCAGUCUAUUUUUUAAAAUGAUGUCCAAGAAAGUAGUUGAAAGUAUUCUCUCCCCUCUCAUAUCAUAGACCUGAGGAAGGAAGGGUAAGCUCCCAUGAAGAUGUUUGGGGGUCUCUAGAGCUCCUGUGGAGAUCUCUGUCCCCUAGCAAGGUUCUUAAUGGCUCCUGAUUUCUGAGAGCUGAGCUUUGAGGUCUGUCCUUCCCUGAAGGGUCCACCCAUCCCUGCAAUUAGAUUCUUCCCUCACUGUUAGCCUAUUGCUAACUAACUUCAUGUGUGCUAGACACACCCAUCCAAAGGAAAUAGAGCGGGGCUCAACUGCUCCUGAUUCUCAGAAGCAAAAUAAUCCAAUACUUGGCCCCCCGAGCAAGGGAUGUCAACAGUCAAGAAAUGCAGCAUUGGGAGGCUGGUGGCUGUGCUGGAUGGUACCUUGCCACUUACUGGCCAUGUGACUUGUUUGUUCCUUCAUUAGCCCUUAGCUUCUUAGGUGCAACAGGAAAGAAAACAGUCAAAUUCAUGUCACACUUAGAAGAUGGACUGCCACAUGGCUGACACCACCGCGACCUUGGUCAGUGUGGUAGUUUGAACGAAACCGGCCACCAUAGACUCAUAGGGAGUGGUACUAUUAGGGUUUGUAACUUUGUUGAGUAGGUGGGACUUCAUUGGAGGAAGUGUUGGUCAGUUGGGGUGGGCUUUGAGGUCUCUAUGAUUAAGCCAGACCUACUGGAUCAAUUUUCCUCUUGCUGUCAUGCAGAUCAAGAUGUGGAACUCUCGGCUACCUUGCCAGCACCAUAUCUGCUGCACACUGCCAUGCUUCCUGACAUGAUGAUAAUGAAUUAAACCUACAAGCUGUAAGACAGCCCCAAUUAAAUGUUUUCCUUUAUAAUAGUUGCUGUGGUCAUGGUGUCUCAUCAGGGCAAUAGGACACUAGGGGAGUGUUUGUGGAAUAUCCUUUCUGAUCAGUAUGCUUCUUCAGAUUCAGUCUUUUGAAUUCUCAAAGCUAGGUCUCUAGGG